UUUCUAAAAAUAACCUACCCCCCACCAAACCCAGACCGACACCCCGCCGACCCUGCACCCCGUUAACACACCCCCGUUUCACUCUCACUUUCUCGCAAGGUCAGUCAAGAAGACCGAUCAAAACCAAAACCAUCAUGCAGCCCCUCAGCACUCUAAAUUUGGCGCGGCGUGGCGCAUUCAUGCUGCAGAGGCGAACAGCCUACACUGGAACAACUGGAACGGUUCUAUCCGGACCACCCUUGAACCGGGUUUCUUUCGCGGAAAAAGCUGCUCUCGGUGGAGUGAUGUGUGUAAGCCUCUUCGCUAUCCCUGCUUGGGUGCUUCUGAACAUCAGAAACUACCAGGGAGAAGGCUCCGAAUAAUGAUAUAGUCAAAAGCUUUAGUUGAAAUAAUUCCUAACCCAGUCCUAACGCUGUCCAUCUUAGGAUCUAGCCCCAGGUUUAGGCAAAUCCCCUUAUCCACUAAUUCUACAAAUCAUAUAAUAUGCAUACUAAUCAAUCGCAAUAGUUGAAAUUAAUUUUUACACUCAUCAAUUGGUGUACCUGCUUCUGAAACUCAGGAUCGUGGUCAAAUUUAUGAUCACUCUAAUGUUCACAGGAAGUUUUACCAGGAGAUUCGCAUUUAUUUGAAACAAAAUUGAUAUAUGUAAGGGGAUUUGUGAUUAAAGCAAUGGUUGAUCUUAUCUACAUUUUAACUCUGGGUUAAGCUUUUUGGCCUUCGUUACGCUGUUAAUGUUAGCAGAAGAAUGCUAAUAAAGGUGUUAAUUACCAAGA